AUACGUAGGUGGCAAGCGUUGUCAGGAAUUAUUGGGCGUAAAGCGCAUGUAGGCGGUGCCUUAAGUCUGUCGUGAAACUGCGGGGCCUAACCCCGUAUGGCGAUGGAAACUGUGGCACUUGAGUGCCGGAGCGGCAAGGGGAACUCCCCUUGUAGCGGUGAAAUUCGUAGAUAUUGGGAAGAACACCGGUGGCGAAGGCGCCUUUCUGGACUGUGUCUGACGCUGAGAUGAGAAAGCCAGGGUAGCGAACGGGAUUAGAUACCCCGGUAGUCCUGGCCGUAAACGAUGGGUACUAGGUGUGGGAGGUAUCGACCCCUUCCGUGCCGGAGUUAACGCAAUAAGUACCCCGCCUGGGGAGUACGGCCGCAAGGCUUAAACUCAAAUGAAUUGACGGGG
rnacentral:rRNA from 1 species